UGUAGCUCAGUGGUAAAGUGCUUGCCUAGCAUGCAGGAGGGCCUGGGUUCAAUCCCCACCA
rnacentral:tRNA from 1 species